rnacentral:rRNA from 1 species
GACGAACGCUGGCGGCGUGCUUAACACAUGCAAGUCGAACGGAAAGGCCCUGCUUUUGUGGGGUGCUCGAGUGGCGAACGGGUGAGUAACACGUGAGUAACCUGCCCUUGACUUUGGGAUAACUUCAGGAAACUGGGGCUAAUACCGGAUAGGAGCUCCUGCUGCAUGGUGGGGGUUGGAAAGUUUCGGCGGUUGGGGAUGGACUCGCGGCUUAUCAGCUUGUUGGUGGGGUAGUGGCUUACCAAGGCUUUGACGGGUAGCCGGCCUGAGAGGGUGACCGGCCACAUUGGGAUGGGGAUACGGCCCAGACUCCUCCGGGGGGCAGCAGGGGGAAAUAUGGCACAAGGGGCGGAAGCCGGAGGCAGCAACGCCGCGGGCGGGAGGACGGCCUUCGGGUUGUAAACCGCUUUCGCCUGUGACGAAGCGUGAGUGACGGUAAUGGGUAAAGAAGCACCGGCUAACUACGU